rnacentral:rRNA from 1 species
AGAGUUUGAUCCUGGCUCAGGAUGAACGCUGGCGGCGUGUCUAAGGCAUGCAAGUCGAAUGGGUUUAGACCCAUGGCAAACGGGUGCGUAACACAUUGGUAACCUACCUCGAAGACGGGGAUAAUCCGGCGAAAGCUGGGAUAAUACCCGAUAAUAAUGGAGUGGCACAUGUCAUCUCCAUUUAAAGAUUUAUCCCUUCGAGAGGGGCCUAUGGCUCAUCAGCUAGUUGGCGGAGUAAAAGCCCACCAAGGCUAAGACGAGUAGCGGGCGCGAGAGCGUGACCCGCCUCAUUGGAACUGAGACACUGUCCAAACUCCUACGGGAGGCUGCAGUCAAGAAUUUUCCCCAAUGGCCGAAAGGCUGAGGGAGCGACGCCGCGUGUAUGAUGAAGCUCUUCGGAGUGUAAAAUACUUUUAUCCGGGACGAAUUUGACUUACC